rnacentral:rRNA from 1 species
AUGACGUCAAAUCAUCAUGCCCCUUAUGACCUGGGCUACACACGUGCUACAAUGGAUGGUACAACGAGCAGCAAGACCGCGAGGUCAAGCGAAUCUCUUAAAGCCAUUCUCCGUUCGGAUUGCAGGCUGCAACUCGCCUGCAUGAAGCCCGGAAUCGCUAGUAAUCGCGGAUCAGCACGCCCGCGGUGAAUACGUUCCCGGGUCUUGUACACACCGCCCGUCACACCACGAGAGUUUGUAACACCCGAAGUCGGUGAGGUAACCUUUUUGGAGCCAGCCGCCUAAGGUGGGACAGAUGAUUGGGGUGAAGUCGUAACAAGGUAACC